GUCCCUGUAGCGCAGUGGAUAGCGCGUUGGACUUCUAAUCCAAAGCCGUGGGUUCGUCCACCAGGGAUG